GAGUUUGAUCCUGGCUCAGAUUGAACGCUGGCGGCAGGCCUAACACAUGCAAGUCGAACGGUAACAGGAAACAGCUUGCUGUUUCGCUGACGAGUGGCGGACGGGUGAGUAAUGUCUGGGAAACUGCCUGAUGGAGGGGGAUAACUACUGGAAACGGUAGCUAAUACCGCAUAACGUCGCAAGACCAAAGAGGGGGACCCUCGGGCCUCUUGCCAUCGGAUGUGCCCAGAUGGGAUUAGCUUGUUGGUGGGGUAACGGCUCACCAAGACAGACGAUCCUCUAUUGCUGACCGUCUGCAGAGGGCGCACAUGUAGCGUCGAGCUACAGUCACUGGAACUGAGACACGGUCCAGACUCCUACGGGAGGCAGCAGUGGGGAAUAUUGCACAAUGGGCGCAAGCCUGAUGCAGCCAUGCCGCGUGUAUGAAGAAGGCCUUCGGGUUGUAAAGUACUUUUCAGCGGGGAGGAAGGGAGUAAAGUUAAUACCUUUGCUCAUUGACGUUACCCGCAGAAGAAGCACCGGCUAACUCCGGGCCAGCAGCCGCGGUAAUACGGAGGGUGCAAGCGUUAAUCGGAAUUACUGGGCGUAAAGCGCACGCAGGCGGUUUGUUAAGUCAGAUGUGAAAUCCCCGGGCUCAACCUGGGAACUGCAUCUGAUACUGGCAAGCUUGAGUCUCGUAGAGGGGGGUAGAAUUCCAGGUGUAGCGGUGAAAUGCGUAGAGAUCUGGAGGAAUACCGGUGGCGAAGGCGGCCCCCUAGACGAAGACUGACGCUCAGGUGCGAAAGCGUGGGGGGCAAACAGGAUUAGAUACCCUGGUAGUCCACGCCGUAAACGAUGUCGACUUGGAGGUUGUGCCCUUGAGGCGUGGCUUCCGGAGCUAACGCGUUAAGUCGACCGCCUGGGGAGUACGGCCGCAAGGUUAAAACUCAAAUGAAUUGACGGGGGCCCGCACAAGCGGUGGAGCAUGGUGGUUUAAUUCGAUGCAACGCGAAGAACCUUACCUGGUCUUGACAUCCACGGAAGUUUUCGGAGAUGAGAAUGUGCCUUCGGGAACCGUGAGACAGGUGCUGCAUGGCUGUCGUCAGCUCGUGUUGUGGAAAUGUUGGGUUAAGUCCCGCAACGAGCGCAACCCUUAUCCUUUGUUGCCAGCGGUCCGCGCCGGGAAUGCAGUCAAAGGAGACUGCCAGUUGGAUAAACUGGCAGGGAGGAUUGGGGAUGACGUCAAGCUAUCAUCAUGGCCCUUACGACCAUUGGGCUACACACGUGCUACAAUGGCGCAUACGAAGAGAAGCGACCUCGCGAGAGCAAACGGACCUCAUAAAGUGCGUCGUAGUCCGGAUUGGAGUCUGCAACUCGACUCCAUGAAGUCGGAAUCGCUAGUAAUCGUGGAUCAGAAUGCCACGGUGAAUACGUUCCCGGGCCUUGUACACACCGCCCGUCACACCAUGGGAGUGGGUUGCAAAAGAAGUAGGUAGCUUAACCUUCGGGAGGGCGCUUACCACUUUGUGAUUCAUGACUGGGGUGAAGUCGUAACA
rnacentral:rRNA from 1 species